UUUCUCGAUGGUAGUGUAUUGGACUACCAUGAGGAUUACGGGUACGAGGAAUUAGGGUUUGAUAUCGGAGAGGGAGCCUGAGAAACGGCUACCACUUCUAAGGAAGGCAGCAGGCGCGUAAAUUACCCAAUCCCGACUCGGGGAGGUAGUGACAAGAAAUAAUAACUCGGGUACUUAUUAGUAUUACGAGAUUAAAAUGAGAACAAUCUAAAAAUCUUAUCGAGGAACAAUAAGAGGACAAGUCUGGUGCCAGCACCCGCGGUAAUUCCAGCUCUUAUAGUGUAUAUUAAAGUUGUUGCAGUUAAAAAGCUCGUAGUCGAUCAUCUAGUACUCGCCGGCUGUGGCUCCGCGCCAUGCUGUUUGCGGGUGCUAUCUGCUCGAAAACUUCUUCGGUCUUAACUGGUCGAUGAUGCUGAUCGGGCACUUUCCUGAGAAAAAAUUAGAGUGUUCAAAGCAGGCUAAUGCCUUGAAUAUUACAGCUUGGAAUAAUAGAAUACGACUGAAGUCACUUUUGUUGGUUAUGAGGCUUUAGUAAUGAUUAAUAGAAACGGUCGGGGGUAUUAGUAUUUAAUUGUCAGAGGUGAAAUUCUUGGAUUUAUUAAAGACUAACUUAUGCGAAAGCAUUUGCCAAGGAUGUUUUCAAUUGAUCAAGAACGAAAGUUAGGGGAUCAAAGACGAUCAGAUACCGUC
rnacentral:rRNA from 1 species